GGAAAUUCGCAUUGGAAACUCUUUGGAGAACAACGGCAGCAACAAUCCUAUAUGUGCUGUUAUUUCUACUAUUCCAGCAGGUGAGUCCUACAACUUUUCAUGUAAUGGGAUGGUGGGACGUUACAUGAUUAUUCGUAUUCCUGGGGAUUGUGAGAUUCUUAGUCUUUGCGAGGUUGAAGUCUACGGAUCCUUGGCAGAAAAUGUAGCAGUACUUGGUGCUGCUAUACAGUCAUCAACAUCUGGGGCCUGGAUUGCUGAAAAUGCCAUUGAUCGAGGUCUCCAGCAGUUGUAUACAAAAUGUUCCUCAACACUCAGACAGACUAACCCAUGGUGGAGGUUGGAUCUGUAUGAUAUUUACAGUGUUAACAGAGUGGUCAUUACUAACAGAAGAGACUGCUGUG